UUAGCGACAGAAGAAGCACCGGCUAACUCCGUGCCAGCAGCCGCGGUAAUACGGAGGGUGCGAGCGUUAAUCGGAAUUACUGGGCGUAAAGCGCAUGCAGGUGGUUUGUUAAGUCAGAUGUGAAAGCCCGGGGCUCAACCUCGGAAUAGCAUUUGAAACUGGCAGACUAGAGUACUGUAGAGGGGGGUAGAAUUUCAGGUGUAGCGGUGAAAUGCGUAGAGAUCUGAAGGAAUACCGGUGGCGAAGGCGGCCCCCUGGACAGAUACUGACACUCAGAUGCGAAAGCGUGGGGAGCAAACAGGAUUAGAACCCUGGUAGUCCACGCCGUAAACGAUGUCUACUUGGAGGUUGUGGCCUUGAGCCGUGGCUUUCGGAGCUAACGCGUUAAGUAGACCGCCUGGGGAGUACGGUCGCAAGAUUAAAACUUAAAGGAAUUGACGG
rnacentral:rRNA from 1 species